rnacentral:rRNA from 1 species
AUUGAACGCUGGCGGCAGGCUUAACACAUGCAAGUCGAGCGGAGAUGAGGUGCUUGCACCUUAUCUUAGCGGCGGACGGGUGAGUAAUGCUUAGGAAUCUGCCUAUUAGUGGGGGACAACAUUCCGAAAGGAAUGCUAAUACCGCAUACGCCCUACGGGGGAAAGCAGGCGAUCUUCGGACCUUGCGCUAAUAGAUGAGCCUAAGUCGGAUUAGCUAGUUGGUGGGGUAAAGGCCUACCAAGGCGACGAUCUGUAGCGGGUCUGAGAGGAUGAUCCGCCACACUGGGACUGAGACACGGCCCAGACUCCUACGGGAGGCAGCAGUGGGAAAUAUUGGACAAUGGGCGGAGGCCUGAUCCAGCCAUGCCGCGUGUGUGAAGAAGGCCUUUUGGUUGUAAAGCACUUUAAGCGAGGAGGAGGCUACCUGGAUUAAUACUCUAGGAUAGUGGACGUUACUCGCAGAAUAAGCACCGGCUAACUCUGUGCCAGCCGCCGCAGUAACAC